UACGGAGGGUGCAAGCGUUAUCCGGAUUUACUGGGUUUAAAGGGUGCGUAGGUGGGUCGGUAAGUCAGCGGUGAAAUCUUCGAGCUUAACUCGGAAACUGCCAUUGAUACUAUCGAUCUUGAAUCAUCUGGAGGUAAGCGGAAUAUGUCAUGUAGCGGUGAAAUGCUUAGAUAUGACAUAGAACACCAAUUGCGAAGGCAGCUUACUACGGAUGUAUUGACACUGAGGCACGAAAGCGUGGGGAUCAAACAGG
rnacentral:rRNA from 1 species